rnacentral:rRNA from 1 species
AUUGAACGCUGGCGGCAGGCCUAACACAUGCAAGUCGAACGGUAACAGGAAGCAGCUUGCUGCUUUGCUGACGAGUGGCGGACGGGUGUGUAAUGUCUGGGAAACUGCCUGAUGGAGGGGGAUAACUACUGGAAACGGUAGCUAAUACCGCAUAACGUCGCAAGACCAAAGAGGGGGACCUUCGGGCCUCUUGCCAUCGGAUGUGCCCAGAUGGGAUUAGCUAGUAGGUGGGGUAACGGCUCACCUAGGCGACGAUCCCUAGCUGGUCUGAGAGGAUGACCAGCCACACUGGAACUGAGACACGGUCCAGACUCCUACGGGAGGCAGCAGUGGGGAAUAUUGCACAAUGGGCGCAAGCCUGAUGCAGCCAUGCCGCGUGUAUGAAGAAGGCCUUCGGGUUGUAAAGUACUUUCAGCGGGGAGGAAGGGAGUAAAGUUAAUACCUUUGCUCAUUGACGUUACCCGCAGAAGAAGCACCGGCUAACUCCGUG